CCUACGGGGGGCAGCAGUGGGGAAUAUUGCACAAUGGGGGAAACCCUGAUGCAGCGACGCCGCGUGAGUGAAGAAGUAAUUCGUUAUGUAAAGCUCUAUCAGCAGGGAAGAAAAUGACGGUACCUGAGUAAGAAGCCCCGGCUAACUACGUGCCAGCAGCCGCGGUAAGACGUCGGGGGCAAGCGUUAUCCGGAUUUACUGGGGGUAAAGGGAGCGUAGACGGCAUGGCAAGUCUGGAGUGAAAGGCGGGGGCUCAACCCCCGGAGUGCUUUGGAAACUGUACGGCUGGAGUGCAGGAGAGGUAAGUGGAAUGCCUAGUGUAGCGGUGAAAUGCGUAGAUAUUAGGAGGAACACCAGUGGCGAAGGCGGCUUACUGGACUGUAACUGACGUUGAGGCUCGAAAGCGUGGGGAGCAAACAGGAUUAGAUACCCUAGUAGUC
rnacentral:rRNA from 1 species